GGAAAACUUACCAGGUCCAGACAUAGUGAGGAUUGACAGAUUGAGAGCUCUUUCUUGAUUCUAUGGGUGGUGGUGCAUGGCCGUUCUUAGUUGGUGGAUUGAUUUGUCUGCUUAAUUGCGUUAACGAACGAGACCCCCGCCUGCUAAAUAGGUCCGUGAAUGAAUUUCAUUGACGAGAUCUUCUUAGAGGGACUUUUGGUGACUAACCAAAGGAAGUUGGGGGCAAUAA
rnacentral:rRNA from 1 species